GUAAGCUACUAAGAGCGAAUGGUGGAUGCCUUGACUGGUAAAGGCGAUGAAGGACGUACUAGACUGCGAUAAGCUACGGGGAGCUGUCAAGAAGCUUUGAUCCGUAGAUUUCCGAAUGGGGCAACCCAAUGUAUAGAGAUAUACAUUACCUAUAUAGGAGCGAACGAGGGGAAUUGAAACAUCUUAGUACCCUCAGGAAAAGAAAUCAAUAGAGAUUGCGUCAGUAGCGGCGAGCGAAAGCGCAAGAGGGCAAACCCAGUGCUUGCACUGGGGGUUGUAGGACUGCAAUGUGCAAGAGGUGAGUUUAGCAGAACAUUCUGGAAAGUAUAGCCAUAGAGGGUGAUAGUCCCGUAUGCGAAAAACAAACCUUAGCUAGCAGUAUCCUGAGUAGGGCGGGACACGAGGAAUCCUGUCUGAAUCCGGGUCGACCACGAUCCAACCCUAAAUACUAAUACCAGAUCGAUAGUGCACAAGUACCGUGAGGGAAAGGUGAAAAGAACUGAGGUGAUCAGAGUGAAAUAGAACCUGAAACCAUUUGCUUACAAUCAUUCAGAGCACUAUGUAGCAAUACAGUGUGAUGGACUGCCUUUUGCAUAAUGAGCCUGCGAGUUGUGGUGUCUGGCAAGGUUAAGCAAACGCGAAGCCGUAGCGAAAGCGAGUCUGAAUAGGGCGCUUAGUCAGAUGCUGCAGACCCGAAACGAAGUGAUCUAUCCAUGAGCAAGUUGAAGCUAGUGUAAGAACUAGUGGAGGACUGAACCCAUAGGCGUUGAAAAGCCCCGGGAUGACUUGUGGAUAGGGGUGAAAGGCCAAUCAAACUUCGUGAUAGCUGGUUCUCUCCGAAAUAUAUUUAGGUAUAGCGUUGUGUCGUAAUAUAAGGGGGUAGAGCACUGAAUGGGCUAGGGCAUACACCAAUGUACCAAACCCUAUCAAACUCCGAAUACCUUAUAUGUAAUCACAGCAGUCAGGCGGCGAGUGAUAAAAUCCGUCGUCAAGAGGGAAACAACCCAGACUACCAGCUAAGGUCCCUAAAUCUUACUUAAGUGGAAAACGAUGUGAAGUUACUUAAACAACCAGGAGGUUGGCUUAGAAGCAGCCAUCCUUUAAAGAAAGCGUAAUAGCUCACUGGUCUAGUGAUUUUGCGCGGAAAAUAUAACGGGGCUAAAGUAAGUACCGAAGCUGUAGACUUGCACACAACUUAGAUUAUUUAAGUUUAGAAUUAUAAGUAGUUUAAGUUGUGUGCAAGUGGUAGGAGAGCGUUCUAUUUGCGUCGAAGGUAUACCGGUAAGGAGUGCUGGAGCGAAUAGAAGUGAGCAUGCAGGCAUGAGUAGCGAUAAUUAAUGUGAGAAUCAUUAACGCCGUAAACCCAAGGUUUCCUACGCGAUGCUCGUCAUCGUAGGGUUAGUCGGGUCCUAAGUCGAGUCCGAAAGGGGUAGACGAUGGCAAAUUGGUUAAUAUUCCAAUACCAACAUUAGUGUGCGAUGGAAGGACGCUUAGGGCUAAGGGGGCUAGCGGAUGGAAGUGCUAGUCUAAGGUCGUAGGAGGUUAUACAGGCAAAUCCGUAUAACAAUACUCCGAGAACUGAAAGGCUUUUUGAAGUCUUCGGAUGGAUAGAAGAACCCCUGAUGCCGUCGAGCCAAGAAAAGUUUCUAAGUUUAGCUAAUGUUGCCCGUACCGUAAACCGACACAGGUGGGUGGGAUGAGUAUUCUAAGGCGCGUGGAAGAACUCUCUUUAAGGAACUCUGCAAAAUAGCACCGUAUCUUCGGUAUAAGGUGUGGUUAACUUUGUAUUAGGAUUUACUCCGAAAGCAAGGAAACUUACAACAAAGAGUCCCUCCCGACUGUUUACCAAAAACACAGCACUCUGCUAACUCGUAAGAGGAUGUAUAGGGUGUGACGCCUGCCCGGUGCUCGAAGGUUAAUUGAUGGGGUUAGCAUUAGCGAAGCUCUUGAUCGAAGCCCGAGUAAACGGCGGCCGUAACUAUAACGGUCCUAAGGUAGCGAAAUUCCUUGUCGGUUAAAUACCGACCUGCAUGAAUGGCGUAACGAGAUGGGAGCUGUCUCAAAGAGGGAUCCAGUGAAAUUGUAGUGGAGGUGAAAAUUCCUCCUACCCGCGGCAAGACGGAAAGACCCCGUGGACCUUUACUACAGCUUGACACUGCUAUUUGGAUAAGAAUGUGCAGGAUAGGUGGGAGGCUUUGAGUAUAUGACGCCAGUUGUAUAUGAGCCAUUGUUGAGAUACCACUCUUUCUUAUUUGGGUAGCUAACCAGCUUGAGUUAUCCUCAAGUGGGACAAUGUCUGGUGGGUAGUUUGACUGGGGCGGUCGCCUCCCAAAUAAUAACGGAGGCUUACAAAGGUUGGCUCAGAACGGUUGGAAAUCGUUCGUAGAGUAUAAAGGUAUAAGCCAGCUUAACUGCAAGACAUACAAGUCAAGCAGAGACGAAAGUCGGUCUUAGUGAUCCGGUGGUUCUGUGUGGAAGGGCCAUCGCUCAAAGGAUAAAAGGUACCCCGGGGAUAACAGGCUGAUCUCCCCCAAGAGCUCACAUCGACGGGGAGGUUUGGCACCUCGAUGUCGGCUCAUCGCAUCCUGGGGCUGGAGCAGGUCCCAAGGGUAUGGCUGUUCGCCAUUUAAAGCGGUACGCGAGCUGGGUUCAGAACGUCGUGAGACAGUUCGGUCCCUAUCUGCCGUGGGCGUAAGAAGAUUGAAGAGAUUUGACCCUAGUACGAGAGGACCGGGUUGAACAAACCACUGGUGUAGCUGUUGUUCUGCCAAGAGCAUCGCAGCGUAGCUAAGUUUGGAAAGGAUAAACGCUGAAAGCAUCUAAGCGUGAAGCCAACUCUAAGAUGAAUCUUCUCUAAGCUCUCUAGAAGACUACUAGUUUGAUAGGCUGGGUGUGUAAUGGAUGAAAGUCCUUUAGCUGACCAGUACUAAUAGAGCGUUUGGCUUAUCUUUA
rnacentral:rRNA from 1 species